UGAACGCUAGCGGCAGGCGUUAACACAUGCAAGUCGAGGGGCAGCAUAAUGAAGUAGCAAUACGGAAUUGAUGGCGACCGGCGCACGGGUGCGUAACGCGUAUGCAACCUACCCAUAACAGGGGGAUAACACUGAGAAAUUGGUACUAAUACCCCAUAACAGUUUUAGAGGCAUCUUUAAGAUUUGAAAGUUCCGGCGGUUAUGGAUGGGCAUGCGUUGUAUUAGCUAGAUGGUGAGGUAAUGGCUCACCAUGGCGACGAUACAUAGGGGGACUGAGAGGUUAACCCCCCACACUGGUACUGAGACACGGACCAGACUCCUACGGGAGGCAGCAGUGAGGAAUAUUGGUCAAUGGACGCAAGUCUGAACCAGCCAUGCCGCGUGCAGGAAGACGGCUCUAUGAGUUGUAAACUGCUUUUGUACAAGGGUAAACCCCGGUACGUGUACCGGGCUGAAAGUACUGUACGAAUAAGGAUCGGCUAACUCCGUG
rnacentral:rRNA from 1 species